AACGAAGAGGGCGAGUGUUAUUCAUAGUGAUUGGGCGUAAAGGGUACGUAGACGGUGUUUCAAGUUCCUAACUAAAAACCCACGGCAUAACCGUGGUAAUGGGGAAUACUGUAAUCACUUGGAGUCUAGCAGAGGUUUAGUGGUAUUUUUAAGGUAAAAGUAACAAUUAUCGAUCUUAAGGAGACCCCCGAAGGCGAAAGCAACUGACCAGGUUAGACUGACGUUAAGGUACGGAGGCAUGGGUAUCAAACAGG
rnacentral:rRNA from 1 species